GGAGCUGAGUGCGGACUAGUAAGAGAGUGAGACUCCUAGAAUCUCUGAUCUUAGGGGAUCACUCAUACUUUCAUGGACUUUACUUCUAGGAAACCCACCAGGUUCUCACAGUGAAGAACCAAGAAACAUCACCUCAUGGCUCUGACAGGUGGUGGAAAAGUUUUCCUAAUUUGAAAUAAAUCCAGAGUGAUUUCCAUAACAAAGCCCUGCCCUUCAGGGGAAAGAUUCUACCCAAGUCUUUGUCCAUUUGGGAGAAGUGCUCUCCCCUGCCUCCAGCCCUCAAUGUGUUUGUUUCCUGUCCUGCCUAACAGAGAAGGGGUCCAAGGGACACUUGUGAAGGUCACCUACCAGCGACCAAAGCACACUCAAACACUGAGAUUUAACUACAAAACUAUAGAAUGCUUUCCCUCCCAGACACCUCACCACCACACAAACAGGGCUGUGAUGUAGCAGGGGGCUAUGGUUGAAAAUGCAGAUUCUGUCUAAGGAGGACUUCUCAGGGAAUCAUCCCUGGGCAGCAGGGGAGAUGAACAGAAAGGCACUGCAGAAACCUGACGCCUCCCGCACCUACACCUACAGCUACAUUAAACAAUCCUGGAUUGAGAAAUCAGUGUGUGGAUAAGCUUUUGACCUGACUUUUGAACAGAAUGUCAUUCUUUCCUCCAAACCUUAUCAGUCGUGAGGUUGAAAGAUGAGAAAAUCUGAAGGACAGAGAAGUAUAUCUCCAGGCAUACAGUUAUAAAACAGCCAGGUCAAAAUUGAACCAGAAGUCUAAUGCCAAAGUCCAAGAAAUGAUAAAAUUGUUCCUAUCACCCUUUUAAAGAUGAGAAGCGGAGUCUAAGAGGUUAAACAGUUUGCCUACUGUGAGGUCAGUCAAUGAGUUUCAGAGCAGAGGGGCAGAGAAUGCUUUACUCCAAAGCUUGAAACAACUGUGCUGCUGACGGAGCAGAGUCUAAAGAUAAGAGAGAGAGGGCACAACAUGUGGAAUAAGAACCUCCAGAAGCAGAAGAGGAUAACAACGCAGGUGAAGCAAUUCAUCUGUUAUCUGCAACAUGUGAGCAAAUCCAGGAAUGUACAGAUCACAGGAUUGGAAAGAAACUCUUCAAGGCCAACCCUGCUGCUUUCUUAAUACACCACAAACAAAAACAGACGGUAAAUGUAUUUCCUGCCCAGGGAAGGAGGUCAGAGUCCAGGGGGAGGUGUGAAGAGGGAUGAAAGUAACUCUCUAUCAUUCACAAUUCUCUUUGCUAUCGUUUAGCACUGGUGACCACCAAGAAUUCUUAGUCCAAGCAGAAUGGCUUCCUGUCUCCACAUGCAAACACCUCUCUGCAGGUUCUCAAAGCCUCAGGAUAAUGUUUACCCAAGCAUCCUUUCUGACAUUUAUCUCAGAGAAACAAAAGCUUAUGUUCCCACAAAAACCCAUACACAAUGCUUAUAGCAGUCGUUGUCUUAAUAAUCAAAAAUGUGAAAACCAGCCAAAGGUCCUUCAAAGGGUGAAUGGUUAAACAUACUCUGAUAAAUCUUCACCAUCCAAUACUACUGAGCAAUAAAAAGGAACAGUUAUUGAUACACAUUGCUAUAGAUUUGUAGGCAAUUGUGAGUGAAAAAAAAUCUCAAAAGUAUGUAUACUGUAUAAUUCUAUUUAUAUAACAUUCUUGAAACGACAAAAUUAUAGAAAUGGAGAACAGAUUAGAGGUUUCCAAGGGUUAAGGAGGAACACUGAAGAGGAAAGUAGUUGUAGUGAUGAGAAGGUACAAAGGUAUUUGUGAGGGAAUAGAUUCGUGUCUUGGAGAAGGCAAUGGUACCCCACUCCAGUACUCUUGCCUGGAAAAUCCCAUGGACGGAGAAGCCUGGUGGGCUGCAGUCCAUGGGGUCGCUAAGAGUCAGACACGACUGAGCAACUUCACUUUCACACAUUGGAGAAGGAAAUGGCAACCCACUCCAGUGUUCUUGCCUGGAGAAUCCCAGGGAUGGGGGAGCCUGGUGGGCUGCCGUCUAUGGGGUCGCACAGAGUCGGACACGACUGAAGCGACUUAGCAGCAGCAGCAGCAGAUUCGUGUCUUGACUGUGGGGGUGGCCACACAAAUCUGCAUAUGCAGUGAAACUGCACAGAACUAUGUGCACACAUAUCACAAACAAAUGCAUGCAAAACUGGUGAAAGUUAGUCAUUGGAUUGUAUCAGUGUCAUUUUCCUGGUUGUGAUACUGUGUUAUUCUUCUACAAAAUGUUCCUCUUGUGGGAAUCCAGGUGAAGGGUAAACAAAAACCUCUCUGUAUUAUUUCUUACCACUGCAUAUGAAUAUGCAGUUAUCUCAAAAAGUGUUUAGUCUUAUAAGUAAAAGCCUUUAAAGAUUGUUACAUAGUCUGUCUUUUUAUACUUGAAUCACUCCAGAAUAGAUUCUGGACACAAACUGAUACAGUCAAGUUAUUUGAAUGUUCUUAAGACUAAGACCAGAGAAGGCAAUGGCACCCCACUCCAGUACUCUUGCCUGGAAAAUCCCAUGGACGGAGGAGCCCAGUAGGCUGCAUUCCAUGGGGUCGAGAAGAGUCAGACACAACUGAGCGACUUCACUUUCACUUUUCACUUUCAUGCAUUGGAGAAGGAAAUGGCAACCCACUCCAAUGUUCUUGCCUGGAGAAUCCCAGGGACAGGGGAGUCUGGUGGGCUGCUGUCUAUGGGGUCGCACAGAGUCAGACACGACUGAAAUGACUUAGCACAGCAGCAGCAAUACUAAGACAAAUACAUACUGAUCAGUGUUUGUUGAAUAAAUCCAGGUG
ensembl:lncRNA